UUAAUCACAAAUUAUUAAUUUUAUCAAUCACACAUUAUUUAUUGUUCACAAAUUAUUCAUAUUAUUAAUCUCCAUCACCCAAAUAAUUGAUCAUAAAAGUUAUUCAUUCCACCCGACUCCACUCCACCACGAUCGACACUACCCAAACUUCGCGCCAUCUCACCAUCAUCAACAACCACUAUCACUGCCAACAACCACCAUUUGCAAACCACUAACAACCACCAACAAAAAUCACCUCAAAACUAUGGCUAAGUAGCGAUGCAAUAGCCAGAUUGAAUUAGAGGCAGAUCAGAGGAAGAGAAGCACUGCUAAGUAGCAGCGAGCAGCGGCUAGGCAGGUCGGAGCUUCGGUGCGCACGGCAUUGCGUUUCACGAGCGACGGCACGCUGUAGUGCUGGAGAAGUGGUUUGGCAACCGGAGAAUCAGGAAGGUGCUGGAGAAGUCUCUGUGACUUUUUGUUUGGGUAGAAAAAAAUUAGGGUUAAUGAGUGGGGGGUGGGGUGGGUUGGUUGGAUGGAUUUUUUGAAGGAAUAAAGUUAAAAUCUGAUUUUUGAAAUAAUAAGUUAAAAACUAG
rnacentral:lncRNA from 1 species